rnacentral:rRNA from 1 species
UACGAAGGGGGCUAGCGUUGCUCGGAAUCACUGGGCGUAAAGCGCACGUAGGCGGCUUGUUAAGUCAGGGGUGAAAUCCUGGAGCUCAACUCCAGAACUGCCUUUGAUACUGGCGAGCUUGAGUUCGGGAGAGGUGAGUGGAACUGCGAGUGUAGAGGUGAAAUUCGUAGAUAUUCGCAAGAACACCAGUGGCGAAGGCGGCUCACUGGCCCGAUACUGACGCUGACGGUGCGAAAGCGUGG